rnacentral:lncRNA from 1 species
GCUAGCUGUAUCUUGCUUUCUCCAUCGUAGGCUCCUUGGUAAAGAAUGAGAGGUAUUUCCACCCCCCUUCCUCCUCACUCCCACCCCAGGAGGGAAGCCAAGCCAUCGUAUCCUUGAGGCCUGGGCUUUCGUCACCCACAGUUUUCUUUUGGCAUCCUGGGGCCAAUUGGUUCUUCAGGUCUCCAACCCUUCUGGAGGUCCUCGCAAAGUUCAGAGGACCCAGGCACCGAAGCAGCUGGGGAAACGAGGGGAAGUCGGGGUGUCAGGACCCCCCAUGCUCUCUGAGAGAGGGGAGAAGCAGCCUGGCCUGUGGCUCCAGCACUUUCCCAGGAAAUAGAAGACAUGUGUCUGUGCCCAGAAACAGUCACUAUAUGCUGUGUGAUCUUAGGCAAGCUGUGGGACUUGUCUGGGCUCCAACUUGGAAGCCCUUGGACUAGGGCUUAAGAAACAGGGAUGGAGGCUGCAGUGGGAGGACAGUCACCAAGGCUUCGUUUCCCCAAAUCAGACGAUGUGACUGACACCUGCUCUGGGGGCUCAGGGCGGGGUGAUCUGGACACCUGGGAGACAAGCUGAGGGCAUGCUUGGUUCCCCUGGGAGGCAGAGACCCUUUGCCACGUGGAGUGAGCUAGCCCUGCUCCCCUGUACUCCCUGCAGACCCAGAAGGGUCCAGUCAGACCCCAGCCCUGUUAGAACAGCUCCCAAUUCCUCAAAAGACAACACUUAUUCAGAGCUCAUUGCAAACCAGGCACUGCUCUAAGCAUUUUAAGUAUAUUAAUUAACAUGUUUAAUUCUCACAACAACCCUGAGACGUGGGCACUAUUAUCAUCCCUAUUUUACAGAUGAAGAAACUGAGGCACAAGAUGAGAAGCAACUUGCUCAGGGUCAUGCAGCUAUAAAGCAGCUGUUUCUCCUUUCAAGGAGCUGAUGAUUUAAGCAUAAACGUGAAUCGAGCUCCCACUACACACCCACCAUGUACUCAGUCCUGUGGGAGAUAAGAAAGAAGAUAAGACGUUGAUCCUGCCUUUCAAGGAGUCUAACUGGGAAAGUAAGACAACCAACCUCUAAAUCCACGAGGCAGGGACCCAUCUGCCUGAUCACCACCCAUUGCCAAUGCCGGCAUGGUACCCUCAAU